GUAAUCUAAAAGAGAAAAAUAUUAUACUUCACGAAACUAGGCGAGCUAAAUUUCCUCUAUUUUAGAAGGUAAUUUUAGUGUAGCAUUACUAACACACUAUAGAAAUUUAGGGGUGAAAGGCCUUACAAGUCUAGCGAUAUCUUGAUUAUAAGGAAAUAUAUUUAGUAUAUAGACGAUCUAGUAAUGUUAAGGUUAUUAGAAAACAUAAUUUAGUAUAUUGUCUUGUUUGAAGAUGUAAAAAUUACAGAUUAGAUUUUUAAAAAAUAUACAACAACCUAAGUAUAUGUAUGAUACUUAUACAUUUUAAUAUACUAUAAAUAAAAUUGAAAAUGAUUUCAUUAGUAUUUCUAUACAUUUGAAUUAGGAACUCGGCAACUAUAUAUUUCUCGACUGUUUAACAAAAACAUGCCUUAAGUAUAUUAUUUAAGGUUUACUCUGCUCAAUGAUAUAAUUAAAUAGCCGCAGUACCUUGACUGUGCAAAGGUAGCAUAAUCAGUUGGCUUAUAAUUGAAGUCUGGUAUGAAUGGGAAUUAGGGAAUAAGCUGUCUUAUAUAAAUAUUUAGAACUUCCUUAUUAAGUGAAAAUUCUUAAAUAAAGAAAUUAGACGAGAAGACCCUAGAAAUUUUUUAGAUAAUUUAAUAAAUAAUAUUUUGUUGGGGCGACAUGGUAACAGAGUUUCUUAACUUACCAAGACUAAUUGGAAACUAUUUAGUUGAAUAAUUAUAAUUACUCUGGGAUAACAGCAUUAUUUAAUAUAAGAUUGUGACCUCGAUGUUGGACUAGGGAAUAACUUACUUAAAAGGUAAGUUUGUGGGCUCUGUUCGAGCUGGAAACCCUACAUGAUCUGAGUUCAGACCGG
rnacentral:rRNA from 1 species